rnacentral:rRNA from 1 species
GACGUAGGGCGCGAGCGUUGUCCGGAUUUAUUGGGCGUAAAGAGCUCGUAGGCGGCUUGUCGCGUCGACUGUGAAAACCCGCGGCUCAACCGUGUGGUCUGCAGUCGAUACGGGCAGGCUAGAGUCCGGAAGAGGAGAGUGGAAUUCCUGGUGUAGCGGUGAAAUGCGCAGAUAUCAGGAAGAACACCAAUGGCGAAGGCAGCUCUCUGGGACGGUACUGACACUGAGACGCGAAAGCGUGGGGAGCGAACAGG